UACGAAGGGGGGCUAGCGUUGCUCGGAAUCACUGGGCGUAAAGGGUGCGUAGGCGGGUCUUUUAAGUCAGGGGUGAAAUCCUGGAGCUCAACUCCAGAACUGCCUUUGAUACUGAGGAUCUUGAGUUCGGGAGAGGUGAGUGGAACUGCGAGUGUAGAGGUGAAAUUCGUAGAUAUUCGCAGGAACACCAGUGGCGAAGGCGGCUCACUGGCCCGAUACUGACGCUGAGGCACGAAAGCGUGGGGAGCAAACAGG
rnacentral:rRNA from 1 species